GCUACGGGCGGCAGCAGUGAGGAAUAUUGGUCAAUGGGCGCGAGCCUGAACCAGCCAAGUAGCGUGAAGGAUGACUGCCCUACGGGUUGUAAACUUCUUUUAUAAAGGAAUAAAGUGAGGCACGUGUGACUUUUUGUAUGUACUUUAUGAAUAAGGAUCGGCUAACUCCGUGCCAGCAGCCGCGGUAAUACGGAGGAUCCGAGCGUUAGCAGGAUUUAGUGGGGUUAAAGGUAGCGUAGAUGGGUUGUUAAGUCAGUUGUGAUAGUUUGCGGCUCAACCGUAAAAUUGCAAUUGAUACUGGCAGUCUUGAGUACAGUUGAGGUAGGCGGAAUUCGUGGUGUAGCGGUGAGAUGCUUAGAUAUCACGAAGAACUCCGAUUGCGAAGGCAGCUUACUAAACUGCCACUGACAUUGAUGCUCGAAAGUGUGGGUAUCAAACAGGAUUAGAUACCCGGGUAGUC
rnacentral:rRNA from 1 species